rnacentral:rRNA from 1 species
UACGUAGGGUGCAAGCGUUGUCCGGAAUUAUUGGGCGUAAAGAGCUCGUAGGCGGCUUGUCACGUCGGCUGUGAAAACCUGGGGCUCAACCCCGGGCCUGCAGCCGAUACGGGCAAGCUAGAAUUCGGUAGGGGGGACUGGAAUUCCUGGUGUAGCGGUGAAAUGCGCAGAUAUCAGGAGGAACACCGGUGGCGAAGGCGGGUCUCUGGGCCGAUAUUGACGCUGAGGAGCGAAAGCGUGGGGAGCGAACAGG